rnacentral:rRNA from 1 species
UCGAGAAUCUUUCGCAAUGGACGAAAGUCUGACGAAGCGACGCCUCGUGAGUGAUGAAGGCCUACGGGUUGUAAAGCUCUUUUGCCAGGGAGCAAGAGAGGAGGGUGAAUAGCCCUCCGAUUUGAGAGUACCUGGAGAAUAAGCACCGGCUAACUCCGUGCCAGCAGCCGCGGUAAUACGGAGGGUGCAAGCAUUACUCGGAAUUAUUGGGCGUAAAGGGCGCGUAGGUGGCCGAGAAAGUCGAGAUUAAAAUUCCAGAACUUAAUGCUGGAGCCGAUCUCGAUACUUCUUGGCUUGAGGGCGAGAUAUGAAAGCGGAAUUCCACGUGUAGCGGUGAAAUGCGUAGAUAUGUGGAAGAACACCAGUAGCGAAAGCGGCUUUCAGGCUCGUUCCUGACACU